rnacentral:lncRNA from 1 species
CCCGGGGGGCGGUUCAUGCCCCGGGGGGGACAGCGGGGCGGGAUCGGCACACGGCGAGUGAGGUGGUCGGGUUCGGGCGGGUGCGGUCGGCGGCGGGGGCGCCCGGGGGGCUAUAGCGCACGGCCUCGGGGGCCGCAAAGAAGGGGCCGUAACUCAUGAUCGGGGCCCCCGAUUCCGUUUCCGUUUCGUACCACGGGACCAGCGGUCCGGAGGCAUCGGGAUGGGGGGGUAGCCGCGUGGCAGUUUGAACGGCGAAAAAUGGGCAAGAUCGGGGGCCGCUUAGUAGGCUUUGCCGGUUUCGGCCGUAACUCAUGAUCCGGGCCUCCGAUUCCGUUUCCGUUUGGUCCCACGGGACCAGCGGUCCAGGGGCAUCCGGAU